rnacentral:misc_RNA from 1 species
CAAGGACGCGCAAGGACUCCUACAACCCUCGUGAACUUCACUACAAGCCUUGCUUCGGCGGGGGUCCCUCAGCGGAGGUCCCGCAGCCCUGGGACCUCUCAGGGGCUAAGGGCAGCCGCCGGCAGGCCUACGAUAACUCUGUCUCUUGCGUUGGCAUCUCGAGUAUAAAACAAACAAGUUA